rnacentral:lncRNA from 1 species
UUUUUGGGGUGAAUUCUGGGGAUUUGGGGUUUUUUGGGAUUUUCUUGGGUUUUCGUUGGGUUUCGGUUGGGUUUUGUUGGGUUCUCGUUGGGUUUUUGUUGGGUUCUCAUUGGGUUUUGUUGGGUUUUUGUUGGGUUCUUGUUGGGUUCCUCUUCUUGUUGGGUUCCUUUUGAGGUCUUGGUCUUCUCCAAGUCCAGCAAGUGUGAGUGGUGGGCUCGUUUUUGGGGUGAAUUCUGGGGAUUUUGGGUUUUUGUUUUUUUUGUUGGGUUUCGGUUGGGUUUUGAUUGGGUUCUUGUUGGGUUUUUGUUGGGUUCUUGUUGGGUUUCAUCUUCUUGUUAGGCUCCUUUUGGGGUCUUGGUCUCCUCCAAGUCCAGCAAGUGUUAGUGCUGGGCUCGGUUUUGGGGUGAGUUCUGGGACUUUUGGGUUUUCGGGGUUUUUUGGGGAGAUUUUGGGGGAUUUCAUUGGGUUUUCAUUAGGUUUU